UGGGGAAUAUUGGACAAUGGGCGGAAGCCUGAUCCAGCAAUGCCGCGUGUGUGAAGAAGGCCUGCGGGUUGUAAAGCACUUUCGGUGGGGAGGAGAGGCCUAUGGCUAAUAUCCAUAGGAAGAGACGUUACCCACAGAAGAAGCACCGGCUAACUCUGUGCCAGCAGCCGCGGUAAUACAGAGGGUGCAAGCGUUAAUCGGAAUUACUGGGCGUAAAGGGUGCGUAGGUGGUUUGGUAAGUUGGGUGUGAAAGUCCUGGGCUUAACCUGGGGAUUGCGCUCAAUACUGUCAAGCUAGAGUACUGUAGAGGAAGGUGGAAUUUCCAGUGUAGCGGUGAAAUGCGUAGAUAUUGGAAGGAACAUCAGUGGCGAAGGCGACUUUCUGGACAGAUACUGACACUGAGGCACGAAAGCGUGGGGAGCAAACAGG
rnacentral:rRNA from 1 species